rnacentral:tRNA from 1 species
GGCUAGGUAGCUCAGUUGGUAGAGCGCGGCCCUGAAAAGGCCGGCGUCGCUGGUUCGAUUCCAGUCCUAGCCA